UGAUCAAGAUUCUAAGAAAAAUUGAACCAUGAACAGUUUGGGUUCAUUUUACUAGUUAUUAAAGUUGUUUUCUAUUCUUUUAUUAAAAAAAAUUCCUGUUCUCUACUCUACAAUUAGGAAAUUUUUGGGAUAGUGUUAUUCAGUCAAAAAUUAGGAAAUUUAGACGUUACUUCUUCCGGGGAAAUUAAUAAAUUUUCAAAGCUAAAGUCGUAAUUAUUUCUGAUAAUUAAUAGGUAUAAAUAUUAAUAGAGUCUAUCUUUAUUUUUAUUAAAAGAAAAUAAAAAAUAAUACACUUACAUCAAAAUAACAUUAAUUCAAUAUUUCUUAUGCAAGGUUACAAGAAUGAAAUGCGGUGGUAUCAUCUUUGCCCUUCGACUCAACCACACACUGACUGAUGCUGCUGGCCUAUUCCAAUUCAUUUCCGCUAUGGCUGAGAUGGCACAAGGCGCAAUCUCUCCUUCAAUCCAACCUGUAUGGGAAAGGCAUCUCCUAACUUGUCGAACUCCCCCACAAGUCACAUGUACGCACCAUGAAUUCGACAAAGUAGAUGAUAUAAAAUCAUGUACAAACUUCACCCCAUUGGAAAACAUGGUUCAUCGCUCAUUUUUCUUCAAUCCCUCUCAUAUAUCCUCCAUCCGUAGAUUUGUUCCUUUGCAUCUUCACCAUUGUUCCACAUUUGAAGUCUUAACUGCUUGCUUAUGGCGUUGCCGGACACUUGCUUUACAAUUCGACCCUGAUGAACAAGUUCGCUUGCUAUGCGUUGUCAAUGUACGCUCCAAGUUUAAUCCUCCAUUGCCAAAGGGAUAUUACGGAAACACGAUCGUGCACCCUGUAGCUGUAACAACAGCAGGAAAAUUAUGCCAAAACCCAUUAGGAUACGCAAUAGAGCUAGUGAAGCAAACCAAGGAAAUUGUGACUGAAGAGUAUGUGAAAUCGGUGGUGGAUUUUUUGGUGACAAAGGGUCGGCCACCCAUUAACUUGGUUCGAGUCUACCUAGUUUCGGAUGCAAGACACGCCAAGUUUUUCGAUGUUGAUUUUGGAUGGGGUAAGGCAAUGUACGGUGGGCCUGCCAAAGGAGUGGUGGCAAGCUUCCUAAUACCUCAUAGGAAUAAGAAAGGGGAAGAUGGACUUGUGGUGCCAAUUUACUUACCGGCUUCGGCUAUGGAAAGAUUUGUUAGAGAGUUGAAUAGAAUGUUGAAAGAUCAUCCAGCUGGUAGUCGAAGUAAUUCCACUUUCAUUAAAUCUACCUUGUAAAAGUAAUGUCAUAAAGCCCAACCAAUUUCAUUGGCCGGGCUAAAGCUCAUUUCUCUAAUUUCAAGCUUCUAUCUUUGAAGCCCCCAUUUUUGGGUGAGGCUCCCCCCAGCCCCACGGCUCCACCGUAAACCUAUCUCGUGCGUAUGUUUGUUUAAUGGUUAUAUAUUUAUGUUCUCCGAACCAUAUUAAAGCAACAACCUUCUUCAUUUUGUGCUACAAUGGAUACUCCUCAUGUUCUAAUUAUUUGUUAUAAUAUCAAAUUUAUAACUUCUUGCUGUUAAUUUGAUGCGUUUGUUAAUAAGGCAAAAAUUGAUCAUUAAUCUAUAUUGGAGUCAUUUGAGAUUGGUCAAAAAUAUGAUAAUAAUAUUUUCCGACUACAAUUAAUAAUCAUAAAUAUAACCUUCAUUUUAUAAAUAAAUACUCAAAUUUUAUGAGACUAAAAGAAAUAUUGUGUGAUGAUGGCACAAAUUAGGAAGACAACUUCUGUUUUUGUCAAUAGUAUUCCUUUUAAAGUUCAUUUGAGGUGGCUGAGGAGAAUUUUUCAUCUGUUCGGCUAGGUUGUAGAUGUAUUGUGAAAAGAAGAAGCAAGAGUGGGAGAAACUUUGGUUUGUUUUAUAGGAUCGUAUCUCUAUGAUGCUAGAAGAGCAAUGUCUGGAUUGAAUGGAGCUUGGUUAUUAAAUUAUAGGCUGGGUGUCAACAUUGUAAGAUUCAAUGGUAAGGAUUCAUAUUGGAAGAAACAAAGUGUAGAAUAGAGUGUCGAAUCAAGACAUGUCAUUGAAGACGGGAAAAGAGAAAUUGAAAGAAGUACCAAGGCGCAGAACACAGUACAGAGUGGUAGGUUGUCCUAUGCAUAGGCUUUAAAGGAUGAGAAUGAGAAUGCAGAGCACCCUCUAUCCCUAAAAAAGGUCGUACAUGCAAUACUCAAUCAGUUUAAUUAAGUAUAAAUUGGACUUUUAGCAAUUUAGAAGAGCAACAAAGAAGAGCAAAAACACAUAACGCACACUCCCUCCCCUAAGACCAUGCAUAAAACCCACCCUUUCCAUCUUCAAGAAGCAAAUCAGCACAAAUCAGAGCACCAACCACGCCAAUCAAAAAAGGCAAAGAAGACUCAAAAGACAACCACAACUCCACAUCAAACGAGAUGAAUUCAGCAAAAAUGACUCAGCAGGAGAAAUAAAAAAGCAAGCGCAAACAUCCACCCAACUCAAAAUAGGAUCACAACAAAUCUCACCAGAACACCAAGAAAAUGGAAACAGAUCCAAAGGUGACACACCUCAAACAACCCAAGAAAAAAAGAAACAGAAGCAAGACCAAAGAUAGAAGUCACCCGUUAAAAACUUUCAUCAAUGUGAUUGAUCAUCCGCAUAUCAAUCUCUCUUUCAACCUCUUCUUUGGCAAGAGAAUCCGCAACAUUAUUUGCGGAUCUAGGAUUUGAAUAUGCCAUUUGUUGGGAUGUGGGCUUACCUUUUCAACAGAAUAUACCACUCAUUUUCUGAUCGAAUAAGCUUGCCUUACAAAUCCUCCUUCGUGCACAUAACAAUUUCUUCACUCUCGUUGUUAUAGAGUGGCUACUAGAGUCCUCCACAAGGAAUUAUACGUUCCAAAAACCUCUGAUCUUUGAUGGUGUCUCAAGAAUGAAGAGAAGGAGAUAAAAAAAAAAGGAGAAAAGAGCCUUUGGGUUUUUCUGACUUACAGAAGAACUUGCAUUCACUCUUUUUCUGUGCCUUGAAACUAGCAUAUCUAUUCACUAUUUAUAGACGUAUUAGGAAUAUAGAGAUAGGAUAUUAUGUUUAAAUUUAAACAAAUUAAAUUUAAAUAUAAUUAAUCCUUAUUUAAAUUAAUUAUUCAAUUAAGUUAUAUCAAAAUAAUAUCUAAUAUUAAUUAAUUGAAAAUUAGUUAAUUAUCCACAAAUAAUUAAUAAAGUUGCAUGUCAUGUGGACGCAUCACAUUUAAACGCAACACCAUUCUUUAAGCUUACUAAUUAGGUUAAUGAUGUUAGAAAUUUGUUUUCUAUGUUUCCAUGGUGCAGUAUCAAGAUGCUCAACCCACUUGAUAGCUGUAAUGGAGUCACUUUCUAAGACAAGGUGAUGACCGAUGCACCUAGAGUCUACAAAGAUAAGAAGAGCUUCUUUGAUAGAAAACAGUUCACCAAUAAUGGAGGAGAUUUGAUUUGAAAUCUUUUAUCCUAUAAUUAUUGACAAAUUAAUAAUCAUUAACUAAUUGAUUCCUUAGUCAACGACAUAACCAAUGUAAUUGAUUUCUUAAACCAUGGCAUAAGCAAUGCCUUUACCUUAGGCAACCACUUAUUGUAAAUAUUUAUUUCCUUGUAUCACCAUCACCACUUGUAUUUAAGCACACCGUGCUUUAUGAAUAAAACCAUCAAACAGAGUAUUCAAACUCUUCAUGGUAUUAAAGCAGAGGUUGCAGACAACCAAAGCUAUAUCUAGAUGGCUAAUAGGGGUGAAGAAGGAGCAGACAAGGGUAAUGGGAAUUUGGUGCCAACUACAAUCUCAUCAAACAACAUUGUAGUUGACAUCAGAUCACAUUGCUAUCUACACUCCUCUGAUCACCCUGGUCUAAUUUUUUUUAAUAUAAUGGACGAGAUUUGACUUGAAAGUGGCAUGUGAUUGAUUAUAUAAGCUGUUGUGAGUACACAUUCACCCUAGAAGGUGAAGGGAAGGUUGGCUUGGAAUCGAAGUGCACGUGCUACUUUAAAAAGAUGGCGAUGCUUUCGUUCUACCACUCCAUUUUGUUAGGGUGUGUUUGUGCAGCUAGUGUGUCUCUUCAUCCCAUACUCAAAAUAGUGAUUCGCCAAAUCUUCAUGAUCGAACUCCAAUCUGUUAUCUAUUCGUAAUAUAUUGACUUGUGCAUUAAACUGUGUUUUGACCCACUUGAAGCAAUAGAGCAAGAAACUCUUUGUUUUUGAUUUAUGUUUCAUAAGAAAGACCCAUGUUGCUUAGUUGUAAUCAUCAACAAUUGAUAGAAAAUAGUGUGAUCCCGAAAAAGAUGCGGUGUGAUAAGGACCCCAAAUAUCAUAGUGAAUCAAAUCAAAAGCUUGUAAACUUUUAUUCUUACGACUUUGAAAAGGCAACCUAGUUUGUUUUGCUUUACAACAAGCAUCACAAAGAAAAAUGUCUUUCUUAUUAUAAGUGAUAGCCAAGUUUGGAACCAUUGAGAGGCGCUCUAAUGGAAUAGGCCCUAAUCGAUGAUGCCACAGAGUUACGGUAUCUUUGCCUUUAGUCAGAAAUGCUUUGCUUGUUCUUGUUGGCUCCAAAUAAUAAAAUCCGUUUCACACUCUACCCACUCCAAUCGGCUUCCUCGAGAGUAAGCCCUAUAUUACACAAAAAUCAGAUCCAAAGAUCAGGAGAUAGUUCAAGUCACGAGUUAUCUUGCUUACAGAUAAUAAGUUAAAACAAAACUCAAGUAUGCCAAGAACUCAUUUUAAAGUCAAGCUUUGCCCAAGAUUUAAUCGACCCAAAGCAUGUACUGGUACAGUGUCAAAAUUUGGAAUUUGAAUUGGUGGAAUUUUAGGAUUUUUGACCAUAUCUAAUAAACCAUCAAUUUGAUAAGUGAUAUGGCUUGUGGCCCCAAUAUCAAUUACCCAUGUGUCGUCCCUUUUUUCAAGAAAAUUACUAGAGCAAUUACCAUUGGAGACCAUGUUUGCAACUAGCCUAUUAAUAGAGUUGGUUUGGAUAGGUCACUGGUUUAAGAGAUCCAUUAAUUAUUGCAUCUGGGCUUGAGUCAAUCCAAGAAUCAAAGAGGAAUCUCUCGUUCCAAUGGAAGAAGAGGAAGCUGGCCCAAUCGAAAAGGAACCUAUCGAUUCGAUGUGAAUAUCAUUUGACCUUGCCAUAAAAGCACGUGCUUAUCCCCCAACGUCCCCAACAGUUGUUCUAGCCGCCCGAUUACCGUGUGAUUCUCCUCUAGCCUUCUAUCUUCAUUGCCAAUUUGGUGGGUAACCCAAAAUUUCAAAACAUGACUCACGGGUGUGGCCCAAUUUGUCGCAAUAAGAGCACUUGGGGCAUGGCCCUUGUCGUUCUCCAUGCCUCUCAGUCUGAUCACCUAUGCCAUGCUUUCUCAUUCCACCGAUGAUUUGAUUUUUGGUCAAUAGGGCUGCCGCUUUUGUCAUUCCAACCUAAGCUACUACAAUAGCCCCCUGUUUUUCUUCUUGGGCUACAAUCGAGUAAGCAUGCCCAACGCUAGGCAACGGUUGACGUUAAGGAUUUAAGAGUGCACGAUCCUAUAGUUGUCAUCAAACCCAUCAAAAAAUGGAACAACUUUUCUUCUUCUCAUAUUUCCUGCAUCUGUCUAGCUACACCACAAGUACACUUUCCAUAACUACAAACUGGUGAGGGUUGAAAAGUUUGAAUUUCAUUCCAUAAUGAUUUAAAUUUUUCGUAGGAAGUGGAAAUUGGAACUGUUUCUUGUUGUAAAAAUGCGAUUGCUCAUUUGAGUUCAUAAACUCUAUGAGCAAUUCCCUGAGUGAACCUUUCUUUAAGGUCAGUCCAUACCUCACUAGCAAUCUCUGCAUGUACAGCUCCCCCUUGCAAUUCCUUGGAGAGAGCGUUUAUUAACUAGGAUAAUACCGUUGCAUUACACUGCACCCAGUCUUGAAAUUCAAGAGAAUUGAAUUUUGGUUUUGGGAUUGACCCAUCCAUGAACCUUGCUUUAUUUUUGGAUUGAAGAGCAUUCAUAAAAUUGCGUCUCCAAGUGAAAUAGUUUUCUCCGGUUUCACUUAUGAAUAAAAUUGUGUCUCUCCCUUUCGCACUUAAGGGAUGAUGAACUAAAAAUCUCUCAGCUAAAAACUCAUUUGGAUCGCGAAUUUUGUAUCAAAAACUUGGGCAAGCUAAAAUACUUUUUGGGAAUUGAGGUAGUGUGAUCACCGUUUGGAAUUGUCUUAAAUCAAUGAAAAUAUGUGCUUGCCAUUUUAGCAGAUAGCGGACUUAUUGGGUGUAAACCCGUGGCAUCAUCUAUGGACCAACAAAUCAAGUUAGAUCCUGAUGCAGGCCUACUUUGUUCAGACCCAGGACAAUAUAGGAGAUUGGUAGGUAGAUUGUUAUACCUCACCAUUACUCGACCUUAUAUUAGUUUUGCUAUCCAUAUAUUAAGUCAAUAGUUGCACUGUCCACGUCAGACACAUUUUGAUGUAGCCUUGUGUGUACUACGAUAUUUGAAAGGAGCACUAGGUCAAGGCUUAUUAUUGCCUAGUCAUAAUCAAUUAACACUUCAAGCCUAUUGUGAUGCCGAUUGGGCAAGCUGUCCAACAACACGAAAAUCAACCACUGGGUACAUCAUUUUUCUUGGCUCAUCACCCAUUUCAUGGCAAUCCAAGAAAUAAUCAAUAGUCUCUUGAUCAUCUGCAGAAGCAGAAUAUAGAGCCAUGGCUACUACGGCAAGUGAGAUUGUAUGGCUCCUAAGUUUGUUGGACGAUUUGUGCAUUUCUCAUCCAACACCAGUUUCAUUAUUUUGUGAUAAUCAAACUGUAAUUCAAAUUGCAGCAAGUCAAGUUUUUCAUGAAUGCACCAAACAUAUCUAAAUUGAUUGUCACUUUAUCAGACAACACGUUCAGUCAAAGAUCCUUGUUCCCAGGUCAAUUUCAACACAUUUUCAAUUAGCAGACAUUUUCACCACGGCUCUUGGACGAAAUCGAUUCUAUGAUCUAUUGGCCAAGUUGGGCAUUACCAAUUUACAUGCUCCAACUUAAGGGGGAGUAAUGGAGGACAUUUGACUUGAAAUCUUUUAUCCUAUAAUUAUUGACUAAUUGAUAAUCAUUAACUAAUUGAUUCCUUAGUCAACGGCAUAACCAAUGUAAUUGAUUUCUUAAGCCAUGGCAUAACCAAUGCCUUUACCUUAGGCAGCCACUUAUUGUAAAUAUUUCUUUCCUUGUAUCACCAUCACCACUUAUAUUUAAGCAUACCGUACCUUAUGAAUAAAACCAUCAGACAGAGUAUUCAAACUCUUCAAGCAAUGUUAGCAUCUCCCAUACCAAUGGCUGUGGAAAAGGAAAUAAGAAUGUUACCUUAACAAUAUCUAAGAACACCACUGAUGCUAGAUUCUCAUGGGUUUCCCCAAGCAAUCCCAUCAGUAUCUCAUCAGUUUUAAAUUUGAGCUGACCCUGAUCCAGGAGCUUUCCACUCAGCAAUGUGUUUUUUCUUUAGAGGUUUUGUAUUCAAAGUGAUCUACUGUGGGGCUCUAAAAAUAUCUAGAAAGGACCUGGUUUCUUCUUUCUACUUGAUUUAGUCAACCAUGCCAUUCUAACCUUACAAGUUCGAAAACUUGGAUACUGUCCCACAUUUUUUCAUUAAAUACCAACUUGUUUCUUUGCAACCAAAUCGACCAAAGUAUUGCAAAUAUCCCAUCUCCCACACCUCAUUUCUUCCUAAUUUGUCAAAAUGCACAUCAUUCCAAGCUGAAAAGAAUGAACAAGCAUUGCCUGAACUGAUCCAACUGAUGUUUUAAAUACUAUACCAUGUAGCCCAAAUCUUCCAAGUAACCUCACAUUUAAAAAACAAAUGAUCCGUUGUUUCCAUUUCUCUCAUCCAUAAUCCAUAGCAUGCAGCUUCAAUAUUCAUAAAACUGCUGAGAUUCGAUCUCAUAUUCAAACAUGAAAUUAAUCAAGAGAUUGAAAGCAUAACACAGUGGAAAAAUAAAAGAUGCAUCUAAUCAAAAAAAUCAACUGAACCCCUCAGAUUAAUUGUUUGUAUUUUUCAUAUAAUUUUUAAAUUAAUUAUGAACACUCAUAAAUUCAAGUAUUACACACUUUAUUCUAAAUAUCUAAUUAAGAAUCAAUUUAAAAUUUACGAACAAAGACCCCUUUUAACCAGCUCAUUUUUCACUACUAGGCUUUGACGCAAAACUUGCCAAUUAAAAAUUUUACCUUAGGAGACGCUAACCCAGACCACACUUCUUUCCACAAACUUUUUUCAUUCCCAUUGUUACCCUCUACAGUUUCAUAAAAGGACUUAGUUGAAUACGAACCACCAACUGUACCCUUCCAAACGAAUUUAUAUAUCAUGAAGAGUGCUUCCUAAAACAGUUUCACCAAUGAUCCGUAAUUAAAAGUUCCAUUGAUCCUUUUUCCAAUCAAAAAUAUUUUGACGAAGUUGAAUGUCCCGUUUCCACUCAUUAUUGUCCCAAAAGCCAAAUUCACUCAAAAUCCCUAGCUUGUUGAUGGAAAGAGCAAAAAUACACGGGAAAGCAUCAUUAAUUAAUGUGCCAUCGAUCCAUUUGUCAUGACAAAAACGAAUAUUGUUUCCGUCACCCAUCACAAUGCCCAUACUAAAGUAAUUGUUAGCUGGAGAACGGGGAAAAGGAUAUUUUUCCAUAUUUUAGAUGGUUUGUAACUCUCUCUCACAUGGGGAACAAGCUUAGAGGGAUUUUCACAAUUUUUCUUCUGUAUAACAACUCUCCAAACGUGGUUUCUUUCAUCACUAUAAUGCCAGAUCCAUCUAUUAAAUAACGUCCAAUUUUAUAGAUUUGCUUCUCUUCCUUUCAUCCAAAUUCAAUGGUUCCAAAUUGGGAGGAAAAAUCUUUUUCUACUUAAAUUUAUAAUUUUACCCUUAAUCUCCUUCUUUCCCUUUAUUUUUCAUCUUUCAUACCAACCACAAGAUAGGAAAUAUGAUUUUACUUCCUCCCUUCCAUUUUGCUUUACUCACAUUUUUCCCUUCCCUCCAUCUCCGUCCUUCCUAGCAAACAUAGUGUAAAGAACGGAAUUUGCCCCUUCUCAUUCCCUUCUUAAUUUUUUUUUUCUUCUCAGUAACUCUAGUGCCUUCAUAGUAUUUACAUUUGUUCUACUCGCGAUUGUUAUCAUGUCGUUGUACAUGAAUAUUUAUUUUUUACUUUUAAAUGAUUGUAGAUAAAUAUAUAUAUUUAAGUUAUAAAAUUUUAAGGGCAAAUAAUUCAAAUUUUGUAUAAUGUUAAUUUAUAAAUUAUUUAAUACUAUUAUAAUUAAAAAAACUUAAAUAAUGCUCUUACUAAAAAAUUAUGAUAAGUAAAUUUCUAUGCUUACUUAAUAUUUCUUUCUAUAUUUUUCUUUUUUGUCAAAUAUUUUUUGUAAAAUAUUAUAAUUUAGAAAAUUUUUAAUACUUUAUCAAACAUAUAAUUUGUAUAUUUUAAAUUACCAAAAAAAAUAAAUGAUGGUAUAAUAAUAAACAAUGAGCUCCGAUAUGGUUUGACUAAUAUGUAAAAUUUGUUCUUUUUUAGAAGUAAAAUUUUUCAAAAAAGAAAGAUUCAAAAUUGACUUUUGAACAAGUGGUACAUAUAUUUAUUAUUAAAUUAAAAUAUUAUUUUAAACCCAAGCUAGUUAUCAUUGACAUUUGUGAAUAAAUUAAAUGCCAUUAAUUUGAUUUAAAGUAAUUAAUGUGGUUAGGGUUUAGACAUAUGAUUUGUCUUUUGCACGCUGUGUGUACAUAGAUUCCUUCACAAACUAUACAUCUAAACAUUUGGAAAUUUUCUUUCAUUCAUUUUUUUAACUAAAAAAAUGAUGAUUAAUAAAUAAAUCAAAAUUAUUUUUUACGAAUUACAAAUGCCUUGACAUAUUUGGCUUCACAUGCAUAUUCUUCUAUUCAAAUCUUUCCUCUCUCAGAAAUAAAAUCUUAAUAAAAGAAAUUAAUGCUAUAUAAUAAUUCAAAUUUCAUAAGAAUUAUGACAACGAAAUAAAAAAAUUAUUUAAUUACUUGUUCAUUUAAUCAAUAAAGUAGUAAAAAUUAAUUAGUUACAUUUCAACCAAGAUUAAAGAUUAGUUAUUGUGUUCAAGUGGUAUUUAAUUAAGAAAAUGUGAAAAAAAAAUGCUUCUUGAAGGUUGAACCCCAUUGCUUAAAUCUUGGUAGUUCUCACUACAAAGAAUUGAAGAAAGAAGAGGGCAAUGUUUGGUUUCCUUUAACUUAUGAGGCAUUCAGUAUGUUACAAUACAAUGUGAUUAUAGGCAAUGUGAUUGCAAGAAAUGAGAUUAUAUAAAAGAUAACAUUAUAAUGUUUGGUAUAUAAACAAAGUAAUGAUUAAAAUGUAAGGAAUGUAGUGUCAAUUUUCAAAAUUACCCCUAUGUAUUAAAAUAUUAAUUUAAUAUACUUUUAUUUUUAAUUAAUAAUUUUUAUAUAAUAUCAUCUCUUAAAUAUGUAUUUAAUGUCGUAUUUUAUUUUCAUUUCUUAAUAUAAUUUCUUAUAUUAUAUUUUUUACUUUAAUUUCUUUUUUUAAGACAAUAUCUAAUAUUUUAUUUUAAGUUGAAGGGCAAAAAUGUCUUUAAACAUAUUGUAAAGUGCAAUGCAAUCUUAUUGCAUUAGUUUUGUACUUCAAUCACAUUACAUCCAUUGGUUAUUAUGUGAUUACAUUACAAUGUUACAUUACAAUAGUUUAUUGUAAAACGAAUAUUGUAACAUAAUUUAAUUAGACAUAUUACAAGAAAUGUACUCUUACUUCCCUUAUAACAAGCACUAUUUUAAUUUUCUAUAGUUGUUAGUCAUCUUUCCUUAUAGUUUAAGCUCCCAUGGCACCUAGACCCACUUCCCUGUUAAACAAGCCAUUCUCUUGAACGAGGAUAACACUCUCCCUUAUGAUCACUAUAACCAAAUAGGCCCUUGUUCCAAGUAGUCAUUAAUGAGCCUAACCUACCCACAGUAUGACUCAAGAACCAUUGUAUAUCAACAAAAGGCCAUAAUCGCCUAGUUUGGUUUCUAGGAUUAAAACCAUUUCAACUUCGCACAUAUCGACAAUUUUUCUUACCAUGCAUUCGUCUUCAAACAGCUUCUCAAACUUCUAAUGUUCUAAUGCCAGAAAUUUCCCAGAAAUAAUAAUUUUAUAAAUAACAUAUUUAUUUUCAUUUAAAAUAAGGUUGAAAUUUAUCAUUUUAUAUAAUUUUCAUUUAACCACAAAAUAACAAUAUUUGAUAUCGAAACAUUUAGAUCAAUAUGGAGUUCAACCCUUUUAAUAAGAAGGGCAUUGAUUACAAUAAUAUACAUGUAUUAGAUAAAAAGCAAUUAACGUAUAAUAUAUAUGUAUACAUGUGUAGCUAGGUAGUAUGUAAAUAUGAACAUAAAGAUACCUUCUUUCUUUAUUUGUUAUUUUAAUCAAUUAAUUAAAAGGAAUGAAAAGAGUGGUCCUACUCAAACAUGACAGUACCGUUUAGCUACUUGUAUAGGUUAUUUUAAUUAAAACAUUAACAAGAAGUUUUGGGGUACCCUAACAUCAUUUGCCCUUCCUAAUAAUACCAAAAUCCGUGUGACAAAGGAUCAAUUAUAAAUUGAUUCAUUUCCCAGUACUACAUAUCCAGCAAGUGAUGAUACGCUUGACCUCAUACGGAGCAAAGAAAGUCAAUUGUACAAGAAGAUUAUAUAGCUGCAACCAUCCCACCGCAGAUUUUGAUGUCAACCACUUCUGCCAUGGUGCCCCAACCCACUUCCCUGGUCUUCACCGUCCGUAGGUAUGAACCAGAGCUCGUGAAAGCUAGCCAGGCCCACCCCUCGUGAGCUCAAACUGUUAUCGGACAUUGAUGACCAUGAGGGUCUUCGGAUCCAGAUCCCGAUUAUCCAAUUUUAUCAGUACAAUACUUCCAUGCAAGGGAAGGAUCCUGCUAAGGUUAUUUGGGAGGCACUUGGAAAAACUCUAGUGUUUUACUAGCCAUUUGCUGUAGGCUAAGGGAAGGGCCAAACGGCAAGCUUAUGGUGGAUUCAGGGACGGAGCUAGCCAAUUUUUAUUGGAAGGCCAAAAGUUAAGAAAAAUAAAAGUUAAAAAUUUUUAAAGCUAAUAUCUUAAACUUAAUCAUUAAUAAUCAAAAGAUUUAUAAUAGACAAUAAUUUUAUAUAAAAGUUUUAUUUGACGAUGGCGAUAUCUUUUUUAAUAUAAAUAAUUAAAUUAUUUGUAAAAAACUUAUUAUCUAUUUUGUUUUAGAGUAUUGUCUUUCUCAAUAUAAAUGACUAAAAAAUUACUAUAGUUAACAUCCAAUAUUCUAAUUUUAUUGUAUUUAAGUUUAUAAUACUAAAUAUUAAACUAUAAUGCAUAAAAUAUAAAUAGUUAAAUACGAUAUACAGAAUUAAUAAUUUCUUCUUAUACUCAAGAUAAUUUCCUUUCAAUUAAAUAUAAAAUGUAAAGUGCAUUAAAAACAUAUACUCAAGAUAAUUUUUUUAUAUAAUUAAGAUUAAUAAAAAAUAAUAUAUUGGUGAAAUUUUAAACAAUAACCAAUAAUGCAACACUAGAAUUUAUAUUUGAGAAUUACAUAUACAAUAAUUUUUUAAUUUUUAAAAAUUAAAAUCAUUAUAAAUAAAAUUCACAAAACAAAAAAAAAAAAACAUGACAAGUAGAAGAUUUAACCUAUAUGACAAAAAUAAAAGAAUAUAGUUGAUGAUUCGUAGAAAUUUAAAAAAGAAAAUUUAUAGAAACUUAAAACAUAUGAACAAAUAGAAUAUAAUUGAAAAAAAUAAAAAAAUAUAAAUAAUAAUAAUGUAAAUAGAAAAAAUUAAAUAAAAACUUUACUUCUUUAUAAUUUUACAAUACAAAGACAGAAAAAAAUAGAGGAAAAAAUGAGUGAAGAGACUUAAAAAAUUUAAAAAUUUAAAAACUUGAGUAAAAUUAAAUGGGACUUGUAAGAUCAUUGUAUUAUUUUUUAAUUAUAUUAAUUAUUCAAUAAAAAAUUAUUUUGAAAAAUCAUUAAAAAAUAUAUAAUAUACAAAAAUUUUCAAAAAUUUUGAGGGGCCAUGACAAAGGGACGCUCCACCCUUGGGUGGAUUGUACUCAGGGGCGGAGCAUCCUUAUGUGAUGGCCCCCCCCAAAAUUUUAAAUUUUUUUUCAUAACAUAUAAAAAUUUUAAAAUUUUUUUAUAUAUUCUAUAACUUGCUCCCUCAAAAUAAUAUUUUAUUUAAUGAUUAAUAAAAAUAAAAAAAUAAUAAAAUGAUUUCACUUAUCUCAUUCAACUUUAAAUUUUUAUAAUUUAUAUUAUUAUUUUUGUUUAUAUUUUUUUAUUUUUUCAUAUAUUAUAAGUUUCUAUAAAUAUUCUUUUUCAAAUUUCUACAAACCAUUAACCAUGUUCUUUUUCUUUCUUUUUUGUUAUGUAAUAUGUGGUAGCUACCUUCUACUUGCCAUGUUCUUCUUUCUUAUGUUACAUAAAUUUUAUUUUUUAUAAUUUUUAUCUUUAAAAAUUAAUAAAUUAGUAUAUAGUUCUCAAAUAUAAGUUGUAAUAUUACAUUGUUACUUAAAAUUUUAUCAACGUAUCAUUUUUUUAUUAAUCCUAAUUAUGUAAAAGAAAAUUAACUUGAGUAUAUUUUUUUAUAUGCUUUACAUUUUAUGUUUAGUUAAAAUGAAAUUCUCUUGAAUAUAUAGUAUUUAAAUAAUUCUGAUUAUAUAAGAAAAAAUUAUUAAUCUUAUAUAUCGUUUUUAACUAUUUAUAUUUUACAAAUUAUAGUUUUAUAUUUAGUUUCGUAUUUCUAUUAUCAAUAUUUUUAUUAUUAAUUGAAUUUAACAUAUUAGUUUUUUAAAAUUUUUAACUCUUAUUUAACUGUGUUUGGUCCCCUCAAUAAAAUUUGACUAGCUCCGCCCCUGAUUGUACUAGUCAAGGCGCGUUGUUUGCUGUGGCCGAUGCUGAUGUUAAACUCGAGCAAUUUGGUGAAGCACUUCUGCCACCAUUUCCUUGCUUGGCUCAGCUUCUUUAUGAUGUUCUCAGCCCCAGAGGGAUGCUAAAUCGCCCAUUGUUGUUGAUCUAGGUAUUAAUUUGUUUAUUACACGAAGCUAUGAUCGAGAUUCUAAGAAAAAGUAAAUCAUGAACAGUAUGGGGUCAUUUUACUAGUUAUGAGAGUUGUUUUCUUUUUUUUUUUAAAUUCGUGUUCUUUUCUCCACAAUUAGGAAAUUUUAGGGAUAGUGUUAUUCUGUCAAAAAUUAUGAAAUUUAGAUGUUGCUUAUUUCAUGGAGAUAAAUGGAAACUAAUAAUUUUUCAAACCUAAGGCCAUAAAUAUUUAUGGUAAUAAAUAGGUAUAAAUAUUAAUUAAGCAUAUCUUUUUUUUAUUAAAAGAAAAUAAAAAAAUAAUACAUCUAUAUAAAAAUAACAUUAAUUCAAUAUUUCUUAUGCAAGGUUACUAGGAUGAAAUGCGGUGGUAUCAUCUUUGCCCUUCGACUCUACCACACUAUGAGUGAUGCCACUAGCCUAUUCCAAUUCAUUUCCGCUAUGGCUGAGAUGGCACAAAGCGCAAUCUCUCCUUCAAUCCCACCUGUAUGGGAAAGGCAUCUCCUAAGUUGUCGAACUCCUCCACAAGUCACAUGUACGCACCAUGAAUUCGACAAAGUAGAUGAUAUAAAAUCAUG
rnacentral:lncRNA from 1 species